rnacentral:lncRNA from 1 species
GAAAGAGAUAACAUUUUCCUAGACAGGAAAGUACAAACCCCAUGGAAUUAUAAUUAUUGUGUCUACAUAAGUUAUUCAAGAUGACACAACAAAAUUGUAUAAAUUGCCUGCCACAAAUCUGCAAGAUUUUGUAACAGAUCAUUUACACACACACAUGCACACACGUAUUGUUGAAUGAAGUCUAUAAAUACUGUCCUUACCUAACUUGGGUGUGAAAAAUUCAAAUACUGUCAUCUCUGGGGCACAAACUAAUUUUUCAUUUUCUCUCCAAAAGACUGAGAGCUGGGACAAAGAAAAAAGUCACAAGCUCAACCCUGAAAUGAGAAUGCGGUACAUGCUCUCUUUUUCACGAGAUCCUGACAAUGACAAAGAAAAGCUCCUAGUGUAGUGAGCAAAAUAGACAAGACAAUGUGUGUCUCAAACGCUGUAAUGAAGGUGGGUGCUGUGUGCUAUGGAAGCACAAAGGAAGAGUAUCAAACUCAAAUUUAAGGGGUCAGAUCUGAAGGCAAAUAAGAAGAGAGUUGCAGUGUUCACACUUACUAGUCACACAAAGGAUGUUGGCAUUAAACAUUUCUCACCAGCACAGGAAAAACGUGGCAUGAGGAGCUCUAACAUCUUUCCUGGUGAAAUCUUUGCAAACCUUGGGAAAUGGGGCAACGAGCAUGGAAAUAUAAAGAUUGAAUUCCAAUCUUCUGAUGGGGAACUCUUGACCUAUUCUUCACCUCCAGAGAUGUAACCUCCAUUCUUUAUUUCUUUUUUAUUAAUCUCCAUUUAGUGCUAUGAAAUGGACAGAAGCUCUCCAAUUUUUAUGACUGACUAAUAGUCUAGAAUGAAAAUGUCAUGAAAAUGGGGACUUUGUGUUGUUCAGUGCUCUAUCCCCAGAACUUAUAACAGCUCCCAGCACACAGGAGGUGUCAG